UAGUCCAAUGAUGACAACUGAUGGCAUAUGAAUUAGGAACCAUGAAUACUGUCUGUCUGAAACCCUGAGGUCUAA
rnacentral:snoRNA from 1 species